GAAGCGGGAAAAGCUCAAAUUUAAAAUCUGGCAGUCUUGGCUGUCCGAGUUGUAUUCUAGAGAAGUGCUUUCUGUGCUGGACCGUGUACAAGUCUCUUGGAACAGAGCGUCAUAGAGGGUGAGAAUCCCGUCUUUGACACGGACUACCAGUGCUAUGUGAUGCGCUCUCAAAGAGUCGAGUUGUUUGGGAAUGCAGCUCAAAAUGGGUGGUAAAUUCCAUCUAAAGCUAAAUAUUGGCGAGAGACCGAUAGCGAACAAGUACCGUGAGGGAAAGAUGAAAAGCACUUUGGAAAGAGAGUUAAACAGUACGUGAAAUUGCUGAAAGGGAAACACUUGAAGUCAGUCGCGUUGGCCAGAACUCAGCCUUGCUUUUGCUUGGUGCACUUUCUGAUUAACGGGCCAGCAUCAGUUUUGACUACAGGAAAAAGAUUAGAGGAAUGUGGCACCUUCGGGUGUGUUAUAGCCUUUAGUUGCAUACUGUGGUUGGGACUGAGGAUCUCAGCACGCGCAAGUUGUGCUUAGGAUGCUGGCGUAAUGGCUUUAAAUGACCCGUCUUGAAACACGGACCAAGGAGUCUAACAUGCCUGCGAGUAUUUGGGUGGAAAACUCGAAUGCGUAAUGAAAGUGAAAGUUGGGAUCUCUGUCGUGGGGAGCACCGACGCCCGGACCAGACCUUCUGUGACGGCUCCGAGGUAGAGCAUGUAUGUUGGGACCCGAAAGAUGGUGAACUAUGCCUGAAUAGGGUGAAGCCAGAGGAAACUCUGGUGGAGGCUCGUAGCGAUUCUGACGUGCAAAUCGAUCGUCAAAUUUGGGUAUAGGGGCGAAAGACUAAUCGAACCAUCUAGUAGCUGGUUCCUGCCGAA
rnacentral:rRNA from 1 species